rnacentral:rRNA from 1 species
ACUCCAGUUGAUCCUGCUGGAGGGUACUGCUAUCAGACUUCGAUUAAGCCAUGCAAGUCAGCUCAUUCACUUGGAUGGGCGGCAAAAGGCUGAGUAACACGUGGUCAAUCUGCCCUAAGGACGUGGAUAUCCUCGGGAAACUGAGGUCAACCCACGAUAGGUGCCCUAUGCUGGAAUGCUUGGGCAUCCAAAAGGCUGGUGAAUUGGAGCCAGUUCGCCUUAGGAUGAGACUGCGCCGGAUUAUGGUUGUUGGGGAGGUAAAUAUGCAAAGCAAGCUUUGCAAUUUUUGCUUUGUGUAGCAAAAUGGCUCACCAAGCCGAUAAUCCGUAGGGGCCAUGGGAGUGGUGGCCCCCAGAAGGGUACUGAGACAAGGACCCUAGCCCUACGGGGUGCAGCAGGCGCGAAACCUUUACAAUGCACGAAAGUGUGAUAAGGGGAGUCUGAGUGGCGAUAGCAUAGCUAUCGUCUUUUGCCAAGUGUAAAUAGCUUGGAGAAUAAGGGUGUGGGCAAUCACACCCUGAACGAACAGUCUUUAGGGAGUGGCCUAAGACUGGUGGCAGCCGCCGCGGUAACACCAGCGCCUCGAGUGGUACCCACGGAUAUUGGGCCUAGAGCGUCCGUAGCCGGACGAUUAAGUCCGCUGUGAAAUGUUGGGGCUCAACCCUAACGCUUGCAGUGGAUACUGGUUGUCUUGGGAACGGGGGAGGAUCGGAGUACUUCCGGGGUAGGGGUAAAAACCCUUGAAUGCGUUCACGAUUUGCAAUCAAGGGAUUGCAAUCCGUUGAGCCUGGAAGGACUACCAGUGGCGAAGGCGCCGAUCCAAAACGUGUCCGACGGUGAGGGACGAAAGCUGGGGGAGCGAACGGGAUUAGAUACCCCGGUAGUCCCAGCUGUAAAUUAUGCAGACUGAGGUGUUACACAUGAGUAAUCAUGUGUAGUGCUGUAGCGUAGUAAGCUUUUUAGGAAAAAGCUUAACCAAAAACUUGCUAAAAAGCUUGCGCAAGUGUUAAGUCUGCCGCCUGGGGAGUACGAUCGCAAGAUUUAAACUUAAAGGAAUUGGCGGGGGAGCACCACAAGCCGUGGAUGCUACGGUUUAAUUGGAUACAACGCCGGAAAUAU